rnacentral:tRNA from 1 species
UCGACUCAUUAGAUUAUGAUCACCAUACUAACCAA